rnacentral:sRNA from 1 species
CUACAACGUAGUUAUUUCUGUUUUACCUCUAUAUCACCUUUAUAACUUCAAUAACCAUAUAUAGCACUAUUCUCAUAGAAAUUCCGAGGCAUUACGACGGCUAACUACUCCAAGCACGUACCACCCAACAUAUUGUGUUGCUGUUGCUUAGAUAGUUAACAAUGACACAACAAUGUUAUCCUUCUACAGAUUCUCUUCUAAAUCAGCAGCAGGUCCCACUUGCUGCAAAGUCAGUGUAAUUAGUGGCCUUCUCGUCACGCUGUUAAAGCGAUUAUCGCGUGUCAUUAUCCUAAGAUUUUGACCACGUAGGCCAAAUGAAUACCAGGUGAGACAUUUAAACAUGUAGUUAACUCUUGCUUUAAAUAGAUAAAUCACUGUGUGGUAGAAAAAACGGUUAAAUGCACAUAUUUUUCAUUUAUCAUGAGAUUAGUUCUUUCAACCAUUUUCAAUCUACUUAUAAUUGCUAUAUGCUUGGUUCCAGCAACCAGCAAUACUACUUUACCAUCAGAGUUAAACAGGAUAAUUAAAAGAGAAGUAUAUGAUAUGCUUGUACAGUACAGUGUGGAAACUGAUACCAAUGGGAUUUUACAUCUAGCUGAUGAUGGUAUAUUGCGAUCAUUUGAUGAAACUGGCAAUGUUCUUGACUAUAGAAGAUUAAAUAAUAGUCAUUUGAGAGCUAUUGCUAGCUUGUAUUCAAAAGAUAUUAAUGAUCAUUUAUUAAAUAUAUGGAAUAAUAUUGAUGGCUUUGCGGUUGAAGAGAAGGUAAUUUGGCAUCCAUCCACAGAUCUUUAUCCCCUCCCACUUUUACAGAAGAGUCAAAGAAUAUUUUCUCCAAUAAGACAUCAUUCAUUACUACAGCGGAUUAUACCUUGUUCUGAUGUUCAGUGUACUGGGCAUACAACAUGUAG